rnacentral:lncRNA from 1 species
AACUCUUGUCCAAUGAUUCUCUAAUCAUGGUGCACCCAAAACUUGAUCUCUAAUUCAUGAAGCUCACCGUGUCUGGAAUAUUGCUCCAAUCCUUAGUUAAGUCAGACCCACCAUUUGCACGAACUAGAUUCCUGAUUGGGUCUCUCACCGUAUCCAAAAUAUUGAGCCCAACCCAUCCUCUAAUUCGUAGCAUCCAAUGCCU